rnacentral:lncRNA from 1 species
GAUGGGGAAAGUACACACUUCAGGACCAAACAAAAUGGCACAUUCAUAGGGUACUCAGGGGUAGGAUCCAAGGUAGUGUGCAAAGUAAAACCAGGAAAAAGCCACUGUUCCCUUGCCAGCCUGUUGGGAAAGUAUUGUAUGAGACGAUGACCCUAAGUCCAACAUAGCUCAUUUUACUGUAGUAUCGGAACAGAAUUCUGUAUCUCUGUCCAUUGCUGGAAUUACGUUUGGUUUGGUGAUGUGAUCAUCAGCCCACCUGGGAGCUGAGGUCCCAAUGGAAAGAAGAAAAUCCCUGUCUUCUUCUUCUCCUCCUUCUCCUCCUCCUCCUCUUCCUCCUCCUUCUUAUUUUAUUAUUUUUUUUUGACAGAGUCUCACUCUGUCUCCUAGGCUGGAGUGCAGUGGCGUGAUCUCAUCUCAUUGCAACCUCCACCUCCUGGAUUCAAGUGAUUCUCCCGCCUUGACUUCCCAAGUAGCUGGGUUUACGGUGCCUGCCACCACACCUGGCUAAUUUUUGUAUUUUUAGUAGAGAUGAGGUUUCACCAUGUUGGCCAGGAUGGUCUUGAACUCCCGACCUCAGGCCACCCAAGGCAGAGGCUCACAGAUGGAACUGCAGGCCACAGUAUCACCCCAUCCCUCACUCUUAUGACAACUAAUUAUCAAGAAAUUUCUGUAAAAUGAAAUCAUUAUACAAAAAAGAUACCUGCAUUUGUAUGUUUAUUGUAGUACUGCUUAACCUAAGUGUUCAUCAACAAAUGGGUGGAAAAAAUAUGGUACAUAUACACAAUGGAAUACUAUUAAGCCAUAAAAAAAUCAUGUCUUUUGCAGCAAUAUGGAUGGAACUGGAGGUCGUCACCUUAAGUGAAACAGGCCAGAAACAGAAAAACAGAUAUUGCGUGUUCUCACUGAUAUGUGGGAGCUAAAUAAUGUGUACACGUGGAUGUAGAGCGUGGAAUGGUAGACGAUGGAGACUCAGAAGGGGGUGGGGUGGACGGGAGGUGGAUAAUGAGAAAUUACUCAUUGGGUACUAUGCAUGUUAUUUAGAGGAUGGAUGCUCUAAAGCCCUGACUUCACCACUGCACAAUCUAUGCAUGUAACAUGAUUGUACUCGCACCCUAUCCAUUCAUACAAAUAAAAAAGAUUAUAAUAAAAAAUAAAGCUGGAUAUAUAACCCCCUAAAAAGAAAUCCCUGUGAAUGAAAC